AAUGGAUAGAUUUAGUUCACUUAUUAUAUGAUGCAAUAAGUGAAAGCGCUCCACCCAUUACAUGGAUAGGAUGUAUGAUAUACACUCUAUUUGAGGUGUAUCCAUAGCAUUACUCAUUACUUUUUAGAUAAAUUACAAUUUUGGUCCUCAAACUAGGGCGCAUGUACGUUUUAGUCCUCAAAUUUUAAUUCGUUGCAAGUUUUAUUUUGAACUUUCUGAAUUGUUGUAAUUAAGUCUCACAACUCAAUCUUUUUAAAUAAAUAUUGAUAAAUUAUUAAUGUAAA
rnacentral:lncRNA from 1 species